rnacentral:sRNA from 1 species
GUGCGGCCUGAAUAUCCUGGCUGCGCCCAAGCAAAAUAUAAUAAUUACCUGGCGCAACCACAAUUUCCCUGGUGUUGGCGCAGUGUUCGCGCACCCCGGUCAAGC